AGUCUCAUUGCUUUGCCCUGACUUGAGUCCCUCUGCUCUUUCUUAUCUUGCCCUGGAUGGCUAUUUCUCUUUCUUUUGUACGAUGAGUAUUUUCACAUUUCCUUAGGACAGUACUGCAAAAUAAGGUCAGGUUAUAAAAAGAAAUUAUAUAUUCUGCUGGCAAAAUAACAAAUUGACAAGUCAACGAGGGCCUAGGCAAAUUGAUUUUUGAAAAAAACGAUAUGGACAAUGUAGUACCUUUCUUUUAGGAAACACUACACUGCAUGUUCUUCACUUUGGGGACUAUUUAGAGACCCAAAGACAUAUGAUAGUUUGAAAUAGGAUAGGUUUUACUCACAGCUGGGGACCAAGUGCCACAGGCUCUAAAAUAAGUUUUCUACUUCCUCUACCUCAGUGACUAAAAUUUCUACUUGAGGACAAUAUUAGUAAUGCUGUAUACUUCAUUGGUGUUGCUGAUUCUAUUAUUAUAAAUAUAGUUUUAAACUACACAUUUGUAUGUCUUUGUUCGGCUCACUACUGCUCUUUUUUUUUGAGAUGGGGUCUUGCUCUGUUGCCCAGGCUGGAGUGCAGUGGUGUGAUCUUGGCUCACUGCAACCUCCGCCUCCUGGUUCAAGCAAUUCUCCUGUCUCAGCCUCCCGAGUAACUGGGAUUACAGGCACGUGCCACCACACUUGAUACAUUUUUGUAUUUUUAGUAGAGAUGGGGUUUUGCCAUAUUGGCCGGUCUGGUUUCGAACUCCUGACCUCAGGUGAUCCGACCACCUCUUCCUCCCAAAGUGCUGGGAUUACAGGCUUGAGCCACCGCACCCAGCCUCCACUACUGCUUUGAAGUGCCCUCCUUUUGUGCCACACACUGAACUAAAGCACGAUGACACUAUCUUUCCUGGUUCUCAUAAAACCCUGGGAGGAAGGCAUUGCUAUGCCUGUUUAACAGAUGAGGCGUCUGAGUAUUGGAGAAAACUCAUCUAACUCUUCUUAUGUGUAGCAGAGCUAGGAGUUCUGAUUGGACCCUCCUGGCAUUCUAGCCCAGUUGAGGUCUGACUAUUUUAGUGAUUUGUUGGGGGAUCCUCCUAAGCAUAGGUGUAUGCUUGCCAAAAUAGCCCUCUGUGAGCCUUGGCUUAUUCAUCCGACUAGCUUUAUUAGAGAACCGGAUCUCAAGGAGGUGGGUGGGAGGUAGGUGAGAACUCUGGGAGAUGGAAAGGGAGAAGGAACAGAAGCAGGCUCUGCAGGGAGGGCCAAAUCCGUGCCCUGGCUGGUCACAAUGCACCCAGCCCCUCCUAGCAUGUAGAUGGGAGUGGAAGGAGAGGAAACUGAUCCAGCUUCGCUGGACACUGGCCUGGGAUGAACAAUUAGCCUUCUUCCAAACACGGUGACAGAGACAGACACUGCCAGGGUUCCUCGCCAGACCUCAGAAAACCCACAUCCCUUGAACGUCACUGGCUUCAGCCCUCGAGUCUAGUUAGAACAAGGCGAUGUUGUCAUGGCUGACUUCUGGGCCCCCUGUGCUUUUGCUGGGAAGCACCCACUGCCAGUGUGUGGGUAUGUGAGGUGGGGAGUGGCGGCCACAGGGGCAACACAUUGGCAAGGCUCACAGCAGGGAGUUGGUUAUUGGCUCAGUGCUGGCCUGGUCUGCAGUUGCCUCUCUUUCAGAGACCCCUAAAUGUGAGAGGGGAUGACCCAGCAUCCCUGCUUCUCAUCCUUCUUCCUCCUGCAACGCUCCCAUGCCCAUGAAUUCUGAUGUUUUUCCUUGUCAGAAUUUGCUUGUGGGAUCUUCGGACUAAAAAAAACCUUUGAGCUUUAUUUUACCCAAAGGUUUUCUCUCCAUCCCUUCCUUCUUUCUUUCCUUCCCCACUUCCUUCCUUCCUUCUUUCCUUCCUUCCUAUUCUUUCCUUCUUGCUCUCUCUUUCCCAUGUUAAAUAAAUUAACUGGGAGGCCAUUAGUCUGAGAUAGCCUCAGUACCUCAGGUUCUUACUUAAGAAAACCUUAGCCCAAACUUAAUGUAAAACUAAAAGGAAACUUAAGCUUAACGAAUCAGAAAAUCCACCAACUAACCUCUAACUAGGACUUUCCACUACACCUCAUAAAAGUUUCCCCUCUUGCCCCCUAGGUGAAAUGUCAAACUGCUUCCUGUCUGGUGCUGACUGAAUUACGAAUCACUGAAUGCUCAAAUAAACUCAUUAAAGUUUUAUUGUACCUAAGUGUGUCUUUUAACAUCUGCAUAUUUUAUUAUAAGAUCUGUCUCCUGGCUGUGUGGUGGCUCACGCCUGUAAUCCCAGCACUUUGGGACACCAAGGCAGGAGGAUCACUUGAGCUCAGGAGUUUGAGACCAGCCUGGC
rnacentral:lncRNA from 10 species